UAGAUACCCUGGUAGUCCACGCCCUAAACGAUGCACACUAGUUGUUGCUAUGCUCGACAUAGCAGUAAUGCAGUUAACACAGUAAGUGUGCCGCCUGGGGAGUACGGUCGCAAGAUUAAAACUCAAAGGAAUAGACGGGGACCCGCACAAGCGGUGGAGCAUGUGGUUUAAUUCGACGAUACGCGAAGAACCUUACCUGGCCUUGACAUAGAAAGAAUCUUUUAGAGAUAGAAGAGUGCUAGUUUACUAGAACUUUCAUACAGGUGCUGCACGGCUGUCGUCAGCUCGUGUCGUGAGAUGUUGGGUUAAGUCCCGCAACGAGCGCAACCCUCGUGUUUAGUUACUAACAGUUCGGCUGAGGACUCUAAACAGACUGCCUGGGUAACCAGGAGGAAGGUGAGGACGACGUCAAGUCAUCAUGGCCCUUACGGCCAGGGCUACACACGUGCUACAAUGGGGUAUACAAAGAGCAGCAAUACGGUGACGUGGAGCAAAUCUCAUAAAAUAUCUCCCAGUUCGGAUUGAAGUCUGCAACUCGACUUCAUGAAGUUGGAAUCGCUAGUAAUCGUAGAUCAGCAAUGCUACGGUGAAUACGUUCCCGGGUCUUGUACUCACCGCCCGUCACACCAUGGGAAUUGAAUUCAUUCGAAGCGGGGAUGCUAAAAUAGCUACCUUCCACAGUGGAUUUAGUAACUAGGGUGAAGUCGUAACAAGGUA
rnacentral:rRNA from 1 species